UUAAUGGGAGGAAUGUACUUGCACUUGCGGGAAAACCCCCACGCUCGGAGGAUUACAUUUUCUUUUCUUUUCUUUUUUUUGCUCUUUCUCCCUUUCCAGGACUCUUUUUAAGUGGUGGGUUAAUUCUUUGUAGCUGCUGCCUGGUUGCAAAGGACAUGGGAAGGCGUCUGUCGUGCUCUAGCUGCGACGUACAGUAUGUCUUAUCUAUGAUGAUCCCCUUCCUGCUCCCCACCUCCCCCCUUCGCACAGCCUGAGUCUUCGACGGUGGCGGCUGAAGGCAAUGCUUGCAGAAAGUUGGGAGGUGGAGAAGAUUUUUUGGUCCGAUUGAUGAUUUAUCAGGACGGCUGUUAAAAUUGGCACCUCGCGGAGCAGAGAUCUUGAGGCUGGUGCUUUGCAGAAACCUGUUUUCAGUGCAAUCUCUGAGCUCUUUUGUGGGUGUCUGAUUUCUGUAACGCAGUUCGGUUUCCAGUAUGAAUGUAACGUGCAGAGAAUAUCAUGACGCUGCUCUAGGUAGGGCAGGCCUCAGAACAGCCUUCCUGCUCCCAGAAGCUUUACCUUGCAACCAGCUUCCAGGAGCUAAAUAAACCCCCCGUUGCUGCUGCUUUUUCCUUUCGGGUCCUACAGAACGAUAUUUUCCCAUCGGUGCCAGGAGAAGAGGCAGCUGGGCUUGGAGCAGAACAAGGGAGGAAGACCCAAAGGCUUGUUAGCUCCAGUGAGGAAGGCUCCUUGGCAGAAGUCCCGGCGAACUCCGUGGCUAGCGACUUGAGCUGGAAGGGACCUGCGUCCAUUGGCGCGUGCAGACCCCAGGGCUUCGCCCGUGAGCCUUGCCUCCACCCUUGCUCUACAACCUCCACGGUCACCGAUACAAGACUUACCUUUGAGGCCACCUAA
rnacentral:lncRNA from 1 species